GAACGCACAUUGCGCCCUCUGGUAUUCCGGGGGGCAUGCCUGUUCGAGCGUCAUUAUCACCCCUCAAGCCCGGCUUGUUGUUGGACGUCGGCGGCGGCCUUUAGUGGCGUACCGCCCGUCUCAAAGAUAAUGACGGCGUCUGUGAGGACACCUGUACACUGAGCUUUCGGGCACGUACUAGGCUGAUACUUGCAGACCCGGUCUUCGGGUUCGCUUCGGCGUUCCCAACUUUUAUACCAAGGUUGACCUCGGAUCAGGUAGGAAUACCCGCUGAACUUAAGC
rnacentral:misc_RNA from 1 species